AUUACAACUCUCUCUCUCUCUCUCCCCCUUCUUCAUAUUCAAAACGUACCCUCUCACACGACACCACUGGACCUCGUUCUGUCUUUUUUACGUUGUCAUUCCUACGUAAGUCCAUUCUCUCUCUUCCUCUUUCACUUUGUGCGUGUCUCUCUGUUAAAUUCUUUAAAGUUCUUUCCUUUCCUCUCUCUUUACGUUUCCGAUCGUCUCGGCAGAUUGGAGCAGAAAAGGCAAAAUUUGAGAAGAAUUCUUUAUUGAUAAUUAUACAGAAGUGUAUUUUUGAAUCCUGUUGAAGGUAUUA
rnacentral:misc_RNA from 1 species